ensembl:lncRNA
UUUUUUUGACAAGUUGUCUGUAUUCUUAAAUACUUAAAAAAUUAUCUUUUUCUAAACAGCCCUCAUCACUCCAGUCUGCCCCCCAGCCCACUGAUAGCAACCAUCAUAAUGCCACACCCAGCUUCCGGCACCUUUCGCCACUCCGGCACAAACCGACACAGCUUUGCGAUCUCGCCAGCAUGCAGAGUCUGAUGUCUUCCCUAUAGAUGGUAUGCUUUUAAAAAAGCUUUAAAGCUGCAUCACAAUGUCAUUGUACUCUUAUCUAAAAAAAAACAAUUUAUACUCCUGAAUGUCAUCUUGUUGUGAUUUUUUUUUUUUUUUUUUUUUUUUUUUUUUUCCUGCAGAUUCCAGAGACUCUGUGAGGCCACUAUUACAAGGCAAGUUUGAAAAUCUUGGAAUUUCACAGUUUACAUGGUAUAACAAAUAUAUGUGACAGGCAAAAACUAGUAAACACUUUUAGCAGUUACAAGAACUAACAAAUGAAUAUCCAACAAAAGGGAAUAGAAAUACAUUGUACUGCCAAUACUUUGGUUUAUUCUUUGUAUGACUUGAAAAUCAGGCUUUAGGGAAAACUAAAUGACAUGUUUCUAUCAUCAGUUACAUGAAGUAAACACACAAGCACUUGCAUACACAUUUAAGACAUGAGACACGCUAAUUCCAUCUCUUAAAAUGUGUCUAUAGGUGAGACGCUUUGCGUUGAUUGGUGCUGCUGGACCACACUGGAGGUGCGAGUCCGCCGUGUAAUGGUUUAUGCCAUUACAAAGGAGCUGGCCUCUGUACUCAACUGGGCAGGGAAAAAAAACCAAGGACCAGACGAAGCAAAAAAGGGCAUUUAAAGAGACAGCGCUGUGCAGAUGCAUAUUUGAUGGCCUGGCGCAGCAGGUAGGGGCGAACUCUAUGUCUGAGUUGGUCUUUGCUUAAGCAGUCCAGAAAUGGCUCAGAUAUGCUCCAGAUCGUACGGGUGGCGCGCAGGACGCACAUCAUCCAUCCCCAUCCCGGAGUAAAUAAUAAAAAGUGACGUGAAACAUAGAAAUGUAAAUAGGAAACUUUGUCUUUUAAUAAAGUAUUUUGCAAAUGAUACAUGUCUAUUGACCUUUUUUGUUUUUUUGUUUUUUUUCAAUAAAAAGCAACUGUACGAAAGAGGUGGAAAAUCAAUACCAUAGCUCAACAGUGUUUCAAUAUCAGAAUCUGACAUUGUUUCAAUGUCAACAGUAUUCGAAAAUAUAACGUCGAAUCAAUGUCAGGUUUCAACAUUGAUUCAACAUCAAAACCUGACGUUGUUUCAACGUUAAAAAUGGGUGCAAGAGUGAUGUUGGGUCAACGUCACACUUCAACGUUGCUUCAAUGACGUCGCCUGAUAUUGACUCAACAUUGUUUCAAUGUUUCCUUGCUAUCUGGGUAGUGAGAUGAAGUGAAGAAGACGGGACUUCAAGGGUAAAGCUGCUGGGCUGAGGUGGAGGGGGAAAUGUCAUUAACAAUGACCAGUGAUGAGCCAAAGAGAGAAAACACUCCCUCUCCUUCUGAUUGAAUUGUUCACAGCGCCAUGUCUCCAUAAACCUGACCCUAACUGGGGUUAGGUGGGCCCUAACUUCUGGCUGAGGACAAGGAACAUUAAAUCUUACAAUACACAUUAAAUCUAGUAGCAGGCCUGAGCGAAGGCCCAAGUGUCUUCUGCUUUUCUUUGAGACCUGCUGCAAUUCUGUCUACUUAAUGAUUGGUGACGAGGGUCAAUUAUUAGCCCUUAGAGACCCUGAAGCUUGAAGUUUAUUACCUUAAAAGGUAGAGGUGGGAAUCACCAUACAUCCCACGAUACGAUAUUAUCACAAUACUUAACGCACGAUACGACAUUAUUGCAAUUUUUUUUUUAAUAUUUUGCGAUAUUCAGAUUCUGUACAUCAAGGUAAACUUUAUCAAUAUUCAUUUUAUCUAAUAACAAAGUCUCACACUCAGUCUUUCUCUCAUUUCAGUCAGUUUUAUUGUUGACAAACUGAACAGUUUGUAUUACAGUCUAGUCCAACUUAGCUGAAUGCAACCAUCUGGUACAAUUAUAGCUAUUCUGAACUAUGCAAUUUGUGAAAACUAUGCAGCCCCUUCAGCAACUGAAGAAUUUGAAAGUAAAUUAAAACAAAAUAUAAUUUUACAUUAAAUGAAAAAGUUUUAAACUUAAUUAAAAUAAAACAUGUCUUAA